GACGAACGCUGGCGGCGUGCUUAACACAUGCAAGUCGAACGGAAAGGCCCUGCUUUUGUGGGGUGCUCGAGUGGCGAACGGGUGAGUAACACGUGAGUAACCUGCCCUUGACUUUGGGAUAACUUCAGGAAACUGGGGCUAAUACCGGAUAGGAGCUCCUGCUGCAUGGUGGGGGUUGGAAAGUUUCGGCGGUUGGGGAUGGACUCGCGGCUUAUCAGCUUGUUGGUGGGGUAGUGGCUUACCAAGGCUUUGACGGGUAGCCGGCCUGAGAGGGUGACCGGCCACAUUGGUACUGAGAUACGGCCCAGACUCCUACGGGAGGCAGCAGUGGGGAAUAUUGCACAAUGGGCGGAAGCCUGAUGCAGCAGCGCCGCGUGCGGGAUGACGGCCUUCGGGUUGUAAACCGCUUUCGCCUGUGACGAAGCGUGAGUGACGGUAAUGGGUAAAGAAGCACCGGCUAACUACGUG
rnacentral:rRNA from 1 species